rnacentral:rRNA from 1 species
CGGACGGGUGAGUAACGCGUGGAUAACCUGCCUCACACUGGGGGACAACAGUUAGAAAUGGCUGCUAAUACCGCAUAAGCGCACAGUACCGCAUGGUACGGUGUGAAAAACCCAGGUGGUGUGAGAUGGAUCCGCGUCUGAUUAGCCAGUUGGCGGGGUAACGGCCCACCAAAGCGACGAUCAGUAGCCGACCUGAGAGGGUGACCGGCCACAUUGGGACUGAGACACGGCCCAA